GGCCAGUUGGUCAGUGUUUUCAAGACUGUGGCCCUGUUUGGGUGUGAAAAUAUAAUAUUUUAGAAGAAAAUCCUUUAUUUAUUGAAAUGAACGAAAUCGACGAUGAGUUAUCUACAUUUUGUGAUUCAGCGACAGCGUUGGUGGAAGGAUGUCGCUUGCCUGUGCGUAUGCAAGGAGGCGAUGACUGGCCACUUGCAGAAAUUAUAAGCAUCAAAGAAAUACGCGGACAACGAGGAUAUUAUGUUCACUAUGUUGAUUUUAACAAGCGUCUGGAUGAAUGGGUUGGUGAGUCAUGGCUGGACACACGCAAGGUGCAGUUUCCCAGGAGAGAUGGAGCUCCCACGGGAGGCACAACCACUCCGAAGAAGACCCAUAUUGGAUCAGGAGGUGGCGUCAUGCCUAAUUUUAUUAAUGAAAGUGUCAGCAAUGACACUGUGAGGCCUAGUAGCAAUAGCCAUAAAGCCACUAACGCGAGCCACCCGACCCCCCCAAAAAUACCUGAAAAGAUCCACCCCACCAAUGCACUCAAUGGUUCUGCUCAAAAAUCAGCACAUGUGAGCCUGCCAGGGGAGCCCCGGCAGCUGAUAUCGCGGCCGGCGAGCCCCACCCUCGGCCAUGACACGUCGUCAUUGGUCAAUGGCGGCGCUGUAUUGGCCGCCGCGCUGCAGAAAAAGAUGAACAGGAAACGGAAGGCCAACUCGCUGGAUAAUGAUCCUGAUGUGUUACCAUCUUUGGAAGCGGCGGAGGGCGAAGCGGCAAGCGGGGCGGCGACCCCCACCACUCGACCGCGGCAAUCCGGAAGCAUGUUGGCUCAUGGACAUGACGAUUUGGUCACCAGGAUGAAGAAUAUAGAGAUGAUUGAACUGGGACGGCAUAGAAUACGGCCGUGGUAUUUUGCGCCAUAUCCUCAGGAAAUGGUGAAUCUGCCCUGCAUCUACAUUUGUGAAUUUUGUCUGAAAUAUAGAAAGAGUAAAAAGUGUUUAGAAAGACAUUUGAUAAAAUGCAAACUAAAACAUCCGCCCGGCAACGAAAUAUAUCGUAAAGGCAGUAUAUCAUUCUUCGAAAUCGACGGACGCAAAAAUAAAUGUUACGCCCAAAACCUGUGUUUACUCGCCAAACUGUUCUUGGACCACAAGACGUUGUACUACGACACCGACCCGUUCCUGUUUUAUGUUAUGACUGAAUUUGAUUCUAGAGGUUUUCACAUAGUGGGUUAUUUUUCGAAAGAAAAAGAGAGUACAGAAGACUACAAUGUAGCAUGUAUUUUAACUUUACCGCCAUACCAAAGGAAAGGGUAUGGAAAGCUGCUCAUAGAAUUCAGCUAUGAACUAUCCAAAUUCGAGGGCAAAACUGGAUCGCCAGAGAAGCCGCUGUCGGACCUUGGGUUGCUCUCGUACAGGAGCUACUGGGCGCAGACGAUACUGGACAUCCUCAUGCACAGCAAACCUGUCGGCGACAACGAGAAGCCCAUCAUUACUAUCAAUGAAAUCUGCGAACUGACCAGCAUAAAGAAAGAAGAUGUAAUAAGCACCUUACAGAACCUCAACCUUAUAAACUAUUAUAAGGGCCAGUACAUCAUAUCGGUCAAUAAGGAACUAAUACAGCAACACGAGAAAGCUAUGGAGAAAAGGACGUUACGAAUAGACCCAAAAUGUCUACACUGGACGCCAAAAGAUUGGUCCAAACGCUCUAAAUGUGUUUGAAGUGGCAACGUUUCGGAGACGCGACCUACCUAACAGGCCACGAAACGUAUGCAGUAUUUAUUUUUUGUAUCUAACUCCUAUGUGCUGUAAAACAAUGUAAAGCCCUGAUGAUGCAGUACAACAACGCUCUAGUCAACGUGUUGAUAACAGAUCUUUUUGUACUAAUUAACAUUCAAAUUAACUUUAAAAAUUAGUUUCCUGGUGUAACUAUUUUUAUUGUCAAAAUAAUAAACUAUUAUUUUUUUGAUCACUUGACCUUCUAUUUAAAAUUAAUAGUGUUUACAAAUGCGGUUAAGAAGACAGUAUAAGCCGGAAUAUUAAAACCAUUUCACAAAGAAACUAACAAAUCUCGUGCUGACUUUGUUUAGAGUAUGCAUGAUGACAUAACAAAAGUAUUUUAGUCUACCUCUUCAUUGAUUCAGUUGCCUUAGAAUUCUAGUACUUACAGAGAAAAAAAGUAAAACAGUGACUGAUGUAGAUUUUAUGUUAAACAGAAUGUAUUCUGUAAUAAUUCAAUAUGAAAGUAGUUAUUUUAUUGUUUAAUUGUCAUACUAUAUUUGCUCAUCAAACGCGUUUCAAUGUAAAAGCGCUUAUUUUUACUUCCCUUGUAUACAACCUUUUUUUAAAUAAAUAACAUAUGAAGGCUUUUAAAGUAGAAAACCUAGUAUAUCUGGUCCUCAUUCACUUUUUAUUUUUGAUCCGCUCUUUUUCAUCUCAAUUUGCAAAUUAUUAAAGAUUUUUUAAUAAGUCUUUUCUCGUUGAAUGCGUCGUUUACUGAUGGGUGUGUGAUUAUUACUUUGAAAUGUUGUUGUAAAUUGUAGCCUUGUUAUUAGGCUCAUGUGUUUUAGUUUAAAUAUGCUCUUUAAGGAGUGUUUAGUA